AUUGAACGCUAGCGGCAGGCCUAAUACAUGCAAGUCGAACGGUGUCUUCGGACAUAGUGGCGCACGGGUGCGUAACACGUAUGCAACCUACCUUACAUUGGGGGAUAGCCUUUCGAAAGGGAGAUUAAUACCGCAUAAGACAGUAGCUGGGCAUCCAGCAGCUGUUAAAGAUUUAUCGAUGUAAGCUGGGCAUGCGUCCAAUUAGCUAGUUGGUGAGGUAACGGCUCACCAAGGCAAUGAUUGGUAGGGGAACUGAGAGGUCAAUCCCCCACACUGGCACUGAGAUACGGGCCAGACUCCUACGGGAGGCAGCAGUAGGGAAUAUUGGGCAAUGGACGCAAGUCUGACCCAGCCAUGCCGCGUGCAGGAUGAAGGCGUUAUGCGUUGUAAACUGCUUUUAUACAGGAAGAAACGACUCUUGCGAGAGGCAUUGACGGUACUGUAUGAAUAAGCACCGGCUAACUCCGUGCCAGCCGCCGCAGUAAAAC
rnacentral:rRNA from 1 species